UACGGGAGGCAGCAGUGGGGAAUAUUGCACAAUGGGCGCAAGCCUGAUGCAGCCAUGCCGCGUGUAUGAAAAAGGCCUUCGGGUUGUAAAGUACUUUCAGUCGUGAGGAAGGUGUUAAGGUUAAUAACCUUAGCAAUUGACGUUAGCGACAGAAGAAGCACCGGCUAACUCCGUGCCAGCAGCCGCGGUAAUACGGAGGGUGCGAGCGUUAAUCGGAAUUACUGGGCGUAAAGGGCACGCAGGCGGUUAAUUAAGUUGGAUGUGAAAUCCCCGGGCUUAACCUGGGAAUGGCAUUCAAGACUGGUUAGCUAGAGUCUUGUAGAGGGGGUAGAAUUCCAUGUGUAGCGGUGAAAUGCGUAGAGAUGUGGAGGAAUACCGGUGGCGAAGGCGGCCCCUGGACAAAGACUGACGCUCAUGUGCGAAAGCGUGGGGAGCAAACGAGGAUUAGAUACCCGU
rnacentral:rRNA from 1 species